rnacentral:rRNA from 1 species
UACGUAGGUGGCAAGCGUUAUCCGGAUUUAUUGGGCGUAAAGAGAACGCAGGCGGUCUUUUAAGUCUGAUGUGAAGGCCUUCGGCUUAACCGGAGUAGUGCAUUGGAAACUGGGAGACUUGAGUGCAGAAGAGGAGAGUGGAACUUCAUGUGUAGCGGUGAAAUGCGUAGAUAUAUGGAAGAACACCAGUGGCGAAAGCGGCUCUCUGGUCUGUAACUGACGCUGAGGUUCGAAAGCGUGGGUAGCAAACAGG